rnacentral:rRNA from 1 species
CCUACGGGCGGCAGCAGUGGGGAAUAUUGCACAAUGGGGGAAACCCUGAUGCAGCGACGCCGCGUGAGUGAAGAAGUAUCUCGGUAUGGAAAGCUCUAUCAGCAGGGAAGAAAAUGACGGUACCUGACUAAGAAGCCCCGGCUAACUACGUGCCAGCAGCGGCGGUAACACGUAGGCGGCAAGCGUUAUCCGGAUUUACUGGGUGUAAAGGGAGCGUAGAGGGGGCUGCAAGUCCGGAGUGAAAGCAUAUGGCUUAACCAUGGUACUGCAAUGGAAACUGUGGAGCUUGAGUGCAGGAGGGGCAGGCGGAAUUCGUGGUGUAGCGGUGAAAUGCGUAGAUAUUAGGAGGAACACCGACGGCGAAGGCAGCCUGCUAGACCGUAACUGACAUUGAGGCUCGAAAGCGUGGGGAGCAAACAGGAUUAGAUACCCUGGUAGUC